AGGUAAGUGGAUCUUACGCUCCUUAUUUAUUUUUAAAUUUUCAUAAUUUUUAUGCAUAUACUCUUUUAUUAAUGAAAUCAUAUUUUUAUAAAAUAAGGAUCAGCAUAUGUGGUAUGAAAAAAGUAUGUUUUAUUAUAAGUAUUGAUUUUAUGAAUAUAUCUUAUGAAAAUAGCAUGAUUAUGAAGAAUGAAUUUUAUUAUUUUUUUUCAUUAUAUAUAUAUAU
rnacentral:lncRNA from 1 species